rnacentral:rRNA from 1 species
AGUGAACGCUGGCGGUAGGCCUAACACAUGCAAGUCGAACGGCAGCACAGUAAGAGCUUGCUCUUACGGGUGGCGAGUGGCGGACGGGUGAGGAAUACAUCGGAAUCUACUUUUUCGUGGGGGAUAACGUAGGGAAACUUACGCUAAUACCGCAUACGGCCUACGGGUGAAAGCAGGGGAUCUUCGGACCUUGCGCGCUUGAAUAAGCCGCUGUCGGAUUAGCUAGUUGGCGGGGUAAAGGCCCACCAAGGCGACGAUCCGUAGCUGGUCUGAGAGGAUGAUCAGCCACACUGGAACGGAGAAACGGUCCAGACUCCUACGGGAGGCAGCAGUGGGGAAUAUUGGACAAUGGGCGCAAGCCUGAUCCAGCCAUACCGCGUGGGUGAAGAAGGCCUUCGGGUUGUAAAGCCCUUUUGUUGGGAAAGAAAAGCAGCAGGUUAAUACCCCGCUGUUCUGACGGUACCCAAAGAAUAAGCACCGGCUAACUUCGUG